AGUCUAGCAUGUGCGCGAGUCAUUGGGACUCAAUAAACCUAGAGGCACAAUGAAAGUGAAAGUCUGUUUACGCGGACUUAGGGAAGAUAGGUGCCGUACACCUUAUGUAUAGCCUCGCACUCCCGGGGCGUCUCGCACUCAUUGCGAGGUGGGGCGCACCAAGAGCGUACACGCUGGGACCCGAAAGAUGGUGAACUAUGCCUGGUCAGGACGAAGUCAGGGGAAACCCUGAUGGAGGUCCGUAGCGAUUCUGACGUGCAAAUCGAUCGUCGGAACUGGGCUUAGGGGCGAAAGACUAAUCGAACCAUCUAGUAGCUGGUUCCCACCGAAGUUUCCCUCAGGAUAGCUGGCACUAGAUUAUGGAUGAGUCUCAUCCGGUAAAGCGAAUGAUUAGAGGCAUUGGGGUCGAAACGGCCUCAACCUAUUCUCAAACUUUAAAUGGGUGAGAUCUCCGGCUUGCUCGAUUUAUGAAGCCGGAGAUCGGAUCAAUUAGUGCCAAGUGGGCCACUUUUGGUAAGCAGAACUGGCGCUGUGGGAUGAACCAAACGCAGAGUUAAAGCGCCAAAAUCGACGCUUAUGGGAUACCAUGAAAGGCGUUGGUAACUUAAGACAGCAGGACGGUGGCCAUGGAAGUCGGAA
rnacentral:rRNA from 1 species